rnacentral:rRNA from 1 species
AUACGAAGGGUGCAAGCGUUGUUCGGAUUUACUGGGAGUAAAGCGUCCGUAGGUGGUUUGUUAAGUCAGGGGUGAAAUCCCGGGGCCUAACCCCGGAACUGCCUUUGAUACUGGCAGGCUGGAGCGCGAUAGAGGAAGAUGGAAUAUCUGGUGUAGGGGUGAAAUCCGUAGAUAUCAUAUAGAACACCAAUGGCGAAGGCAUUCUCCUGGAUCGUUGCUGACACUGAGUGACUAAAGCGUGGGUAGCAAACAGAAUUAGAUGCUCUGGUAGUCCACGCCCUAAACGAUGCAUUCUUGUUGUUGGGUCUUCAUGGACUCAGUAACGAAGCUAACGCGUGAAGUUGACCGCCUGGGGAGUACGGCCGCUAGGUUGAAUCUCAAAGGAAUUGACGGGU